rnacentral:rRNA from 1 species
UAGGGAAUCUUCCACAAUGGACGCAAGUCUGAUGGAGCAACGCCGCGUGAGUGAAGAAGGUUUUCGGACCGUAAAGCUCUGUUGUUGGUGAAGAAGGAUAGAGGUAGUAACUGGCCUUUAUUUGACGGUAAUCAACCAGAAAGUCACGGCUAACUACGUGCCAGCAGCCGCGGUAAUACGUAGGUGGCAAGCGUUGUCCGGAUUUAUUGGGCGUAAAGCGAGCGCAGGCGGAAGAAUAAGUCUGAUGUGAAAGCCCUCGGCUUAACCGAGGAAUUGCAUCGGAAACUGUUUUUCUUGAGUGCAGAAGAGGAGAGUAGAACUCCAUGUGUAGCGGUGGAAUGCGUAGAUAUAUGGAGGAACACCGGUGGCGAAAGCGGCUCUCUGGUCUGUAACUGACGCUGAGGCUCGAAAGCAUGGGUAGCGAACAGGAUUAGAUACCCUGGUAGUCCAUGCCGUAAAACGAUGAGUGCUAAGUGUUGGGAGGCUUCCGCCUCUCAGUGCUGCAGCUAACGCAUUAAGCACUCCGCCUGGGGGAGUACGACCGCAAGGUUGAAAC